AGGGGGUACUAAAUCUUCAAC
rnacentral:piRNA from 1 species